AACGAACGCUGGCGGCAGGCUUAACACAUGCAAGUCGAGCGCCCCGCAAGGGGAGCGGCAGACGGGUGAGUAACGCGUGGGAACGUACCUUUUGGUUCGGAACAACUCCGGGAAACUGGAGCUAAUACCGGAUAAGCCCUAACGGGGAAAGAUUUAUCGCCGAAAGAUCGGCCCGCGUCUGAUUAGCUAGUUGGUGAGGUAACGGCUCACCAAGGCGACGAUCAGUAGCUGGUCUGAGAGGAUGAUCAGCCACACUGGGACUGAGACACGGCCCAGACUCCUACGGGAGGCAGCAGUGGGGAAUAUUGGACAAUGGGCGCAAGCCUGAUCCAGCCAUGCCGCGCGAGUGAUGAAGGCCUUAGGGUUGUAAAGCUCUUUUGUCCGGGAAGAUAAUGACUGUACCGGAAGAAUAAGCCCCGGCUAACUUCGUG
rnacentral:rRNA from 1 species